rnacentral:rRNA from 1 species
GACGAACGCUGGCGGCGUGCCUAACACAUGCAAGUCGAGCGGAGGUACAAUGAGAGCAAUCGAGAUGUACUUUAGCGGCGGACGGGUGAGUAACGCGUGAGCAACCUGCCUAUCACAGGGGGAUAAGGCGGCGAAAGCCGCUCUAAUACCGCAUGAGACCCUCAAAGCGAUGCAAUGGGGGUGAAAGGAGCGAUCCGGUGAGAGAUGGGCUCGCGUCCGAUUAGGUAGUUGGUAGGGUAAGGGCCUACCAAGCCAAUGAUCGGUAGCCGGCCUGAGAGGGGUGAACGGCCACAUUGGAACUGAGAGACGGUCCAAAACUCCUACGGGAGGCAGCAGUGAGGAAUAUUGGACAAUGGAUGGAAAUACUGAUCCAGCCAUGCCGCGUGCAGGAAGACGGCCCUAUGGGUUGUAAACUGCUUUUAUAUGGGAGCAAUAAGGUUUACGCGUAGACCGAUGAGAGUACCAUAUGAAUAAGCAUCGGCUAAC